AUUGAACGCUGGCGGCAGGCUUAACACAUGCAAGUCGAGCGGUAGAGGGGAGCUUGCUUCCCUUGAGAGCGGCGGACGGGUGAGUAAUGCCUAGGAAUCUGCCUGGUAGUGGGGGACAACGUUCGGAAACGGACGCUAAUACCGCAUACGUCCUACGGGAGAAAGUGGGGGAUCUUCGGACCUCACGCUAUCAGAUGAGCCUAGGUCGGAUUAGCUAGUUGGUGGGGUAAAGGCCUACCAAGGCGACGAUCCGUAACUGGUCUGAGAGGAUGAUCAGUCACACUGGAACUGAGACACGGUCCAGACUCCUACGGGAGGAAGCAGUGGGGAAUAUUGGACAAUGGACGCAAGCCUGAUCCAGCCAUGCCGCGUGUGUGAAGAAGGUCUUCGGAUUGUAAAGCACUUUAAGUUGGGAGGAAGUUCAGUAAGUUAAUACCUUGUUGAAUUGACGUUACCGACAGAAUAAGCACCGGCUAACUCUGUGCCAGCCGCCGCGGUAACAC
rnacentral:rRNA from 1 species